rnacentral:other from 1 species
GAAAUCCUGAGAUGUGCGAUUAGCUUAUGAUGUUCAACCUACAUUAUAUUUACGGGAUUUGCAACAUGUUUGUGGAUGUCGGGCUUCCAUAAGAUCAGAAGAUGGCAGAAGCAAAUUGCGCAGAACCCACCUGCGAGCUGCAGGUGUGAAUAUUUAAGUGACCGGCAUGUUGGGAAUAAA